CAUUAUUACGGGAUCAAAUAGCAAAAUAAUUCAAUAAAAUAUUAACUUACGCGUUAACUUUACGUUAAUGAAAUACAGUCAAACCUGUCAGUAACGGCCACUAAAAUGAAAGAACUAUUGGCUGAUAUAGAAAGGUGGCCGUUAUUGCCAGUUUUUGUAGUCUAGAUAUACAGUAAAACUUGUGUUACUGGCCACCUGAUAAAAUCGGCCACCUGUACUAACGGCCAAUUUAAAAAUUCCCCAAACCAAUUAUAUCUAGACUACAAAAACUGGCAAUACCGGUCACCUUUCUAUAUCGGCCAAUAGCUUUUUCAUUUUUAGUGGCCGUUACUGACAGGUUUUACUGUAAUUGGUUUGGGGAAUUUUUAAACUGGCCGUUAGUACAGGUGGCCGGUGUUUGCAGGGGGCCGGUAACACAGGUUUUACUGUAGUUUAAAUCGAAAAGAUUAAAUCUUAAUUCAAAAUUGUAUAUAUACAAUUAUUACAAUUAUAAACUAUAUAUAGUUUAGUAUCCAAAACAUGUUUUUGAUUUUAUGUAAUGUAAUGAAAAUAUUAUUUGUAAAUUAUUGGUUACAACUGUUUAACAAUAGGAAAUAUUCAAGAAUAAAUAAAAUAAAAGUUUAAUCCUAACAACACAAAACAUUCCAGGAAUGUAGGUACUACCGUUCUAUUCCGUGAACAUCUAUCUGAUUAAAUUAUGGGUGGAAAGUUACCACAAGAUAUUCUAUGAACAUAGUACAAUGUCUUCCUGGAGGGGUAAAAUUUUCCAUUACAAGAUUUUAAGAGAGGCCAUUUACUAUUCAAUUUGCGUUCAUUUUCAAAUUUGCCGCGCGAGUAUCUAUGUAGCGUCACGUGGUCAUUGGCAUUCAUUGGUCAUCACAUUUCAUAUAUUUAUUUCAUUUUCAUGGAUAACCGAUAACCUAAAAAUUUAGUAAAAAUUUUGAUUGGAAAAAAAUGCAUCGAUAACUGUCGAUAAGGGGGUGUGGGAAAUGGAAAUUAGUGGCUUUUUUGCUGUACUGUCUGCCAGUUUUUGCUCUGGGCUCUGGCUGGAUCUCUUGUUUAAACAAUUUUAAUCAGCUGAAAGUGGCCUACAAAAAAAAACCAAGAAGGAAAUGUAUAGCCUUGUGGCUAUGAAAGGCAAAAGAGAGAUAUAAAAAGUGUAUUGGCUAGUUGGAAGAAAGUCCACAUUGUCCAUGCAUAAUAAGUUAUUACUUUAUCAACAAAUAUCAAGAAGAUAGCAGGGUCACGAGCAUCAACUUCAUAAGUUCAAGAAUAUCGAGGAAAUCCAGCUCCUCGAUACUACUGGGCAAACUAGAAGAUUGAAGAGGACAAAUCCUUUUGAACUAGUUUGAGUGAUAGGUGAUAGUGAAAAACGGAGCAUAGUGCUUGUGUGCUGUGCCUGUGUAUGUUAGAAUAAUAGUGCACGAUCUUGUUAGAUUAGAUAAGAGACGCUAUGGGGUAAGCUCUUCAUUUUAAGAAACAGUAGUAAUUUAGGUUAAAUUAAAAUUGCUCAUUGGUCAAUUAUGACCAGAUUGUUUUUUUAUGUUUGGCAAAAAGGACUUAAGUCAGAAUUGCACAUUGAUAAUGUUUUGAUGAUUUCUGGACCAGAAAAAAACUGUUGUAGAUGUAAACUGUAUGUACAGUAGAAUCUACUACAGUACUGUAGAAAUCAUCAAAACAUUAUCGAUGUGCAAUUCUGACUUAAGCCCUUUUUCCCAAACAUCAGAGAAUUGUAAUGUACAAUAAUUCUCCUAUCUGCUUUUUCAUGAAUUUUGUAGGAGACGAAAAACCAUUUUUAGGAUCAUCUGCUUUCACAUGUAAAUUUUGACAUGUUUUGUAGUAAAUAGAUAGUUGAAUUUACUACAAAACAUGUCAAAAAAUAUAUGAAAACAGGAGGUGACUAUAAAAAAAGUUUUUAGUCUCUCUUACAAAACUCAUGAAAAACAAAUCGGAGAUAUGUCACAUCGGUGACUAUAUCCAGGGAAUGUCUAAAAAAUAUACUUUGAUGU